rnacentral:rRNA from 1 species
AAUGAACGCUGGCGGCAGGCCUAACACAUGCAAGUCGAACGGAUCCUUCGGGAUUAGUGGCGGACGGGUGAGUAACGCGUGGGAACAUACCCCUUGGUACGGAAUAGCCUCGGGAAACUGGGAGUAAUACCGUAUGUGGUCGAGAGACGAAAGAUUUAUCGCCAAAGGAUUGGCCCGCGUUGGAUUAGGUAGUUGGUGGGGUAAUGGCCUACCAAGCCGACGAUCCAUAGCUGGGUUGAGAGGAUGAUCAGCCACACUGGGACUGAGACACGGCCCAGACUCCUACGGGAGGCAGCAGUGGGGAAUCUUAGACAAUGGGGGAAACCCUGAUCUAGCCAUGCCGCGUGAUCGAUGAAGGCCUUAGGGUUGUAAAGAUCUUUCAGGUGGGAAGAUAAUGACUGUACCACCAGAAGAAGCCCCGGCUAACUCCGUGCCAGCAGCCGCCGUAA